GAUGAAGAACGUAGCGAAAUGCGAUAAGUAGUGUGAAUUGCAGAAUUCAGUGAAUCAUCGAAUCUUUGAACGCACAUUUCGCCCCUUGGUAUUCCAUGGGGCAUGCCUGUUCGAGCGUCAUUUGUACCUUCAAGCUCUGCUUGGUGUUGGGUGUUUGUCUCGCCUCUGCGUGUAGACUCGCCUCAAAACAAUUGGCAGCCGGCGUAUUGAUUUCGGAGCGCAGUACAUCUCGCGCUUUGCACUCAUAACGACGACGUCCAAAAGUACAUUUUUACACUCUUGACCUCGGAUCAGGUAGGGAUACCCGCUGAACUUAAGCAUAUCAAUAAGCGGAGA
rnacentral:misc_RNA from 1 species